UACGUAGGGGGCUAGCGUUGUCCGGAAUCAUUGGGCGUAAAGAGCGUGUAGGCGGCCAUGUAGGUCCGUUGUGAAAACUCGAGGCUCAACCUCGAGACGCCGAUGGAAACCAUGUGGCUAGAGUCCGGAAGAGGAGAGUGGAAUUCCUGGUGUAGCGGUGAAAUGCGCAGAUAUCAGGAAGAACACCCGUGGCUAAGGCGGCUCUCUAGUACGGUACUGACGCUGAGACGCGAAAGCGUGGGGAGCGAACAGG
rnacentral:rRNA from 1 species